rnacentral:rRNA from 1 species
GACGAACGCUGGCGGCGUGCUUAACACAUGCAAGUCGAACGGAAAGGCCCUGCUUUUGUGGGGUGCUCGAGUGGCGAACGGGUGAGUAACACGUGAGUAACCUGCCCUUGACUUUGGGAUAACUUCAGGAAACUGGGGCUAAUACCGGAUAGGAGCUCCUGCUGCAUGGUGGGGGUUUGAAAGUUUCGGCGGUUGGGGAUGGACUCGCGGCUUAUCAGCUUGUUGGUGGGGUAGUGGCUUACCAAGGCUUUGACGGGUAGCCGGCCUGAGAGGGUGACCGGCCACAUUGGGACUGAGAUACGGCCCAGACUCCUACGGGAGGCAGCAGUGGGGAAUAUUGCACAAUGGGUGGAAGCCUGAUGCAGCAACGCCGCGUGCGGGAUGACGGCCUUCGGGUUGUAAACCGCUUUCGCCUGUGGCGAAGCGUGAGUGACGGUAAUGGGUAAAGAAGCACCGGCUAACUACGUG